CAACCCUCAGGCCUCCGGUUUUAGUGCCGGAGCUCCUGGUGUUGGGGACCCGGGCCUGCCCCACGCGGCCGGCGCCCGGACCCCGAAAGAUAGUGGCGGCUCCGCCGUAGCGUCCUCUGCGUAGUAGCAACACCUCGCACCGGAGCGCGGCGCGGUCAUGCCGUAAAGCGGUAGCAGGCUUUUGCCUGCACCAUCUUCCAAA
rnacentral:misc_RNA from 1 species